rnacentral:misc_RNA from 1 species
AAGUCGUAACAAGGUUUCCGUAGGUGAACCUGCGGAAGGAUCAUUUCAAUAUAAAGAGACUAAAUGUCUUUUUAAACAAAUGUGCAACUGUUUUUAUAUUUAUAUAAAACCUUUAUAUCUUAAAGAUUUUUCUUUUCUUAAGGAAAAUAACAAUACAUAACUUUUAACAAUGGAUCUCUUGGCUCUU